rnacentral:rRNA from 1 species
GUGGGGAAUAUUGGGCAAUGGGCGAAAGCCUGACCCAGCAACGCCGCGUGAAGGAAGAAGGUUUUCGGAUCGUAAACUUCUAUCCUUGGUGAAGAUAAUGACGGUAGCCAAGAAGGAAGCCCCGGCUAACUACGUGCCAGCAGCCGCGGUAAUACGUAGGGGGCAAGCGUUGUCCGGAAUGAUUGGGCGUAAAGGGCGCGUAGGCGGCCUGGUAAGUCUGGAGUGAAAGUCCUGCUUUUAAGGUGGGAAUUGCUUUGGAUACUGUCGGGCUUGAGUGCAGGAGAGGUAAGCGGAAUUCCCGGUGUAGCGGUGAAAUGCGUAGAGAUCGGGAGGAACACCAGUGGCGAAGGCGGCUUACUGGACUGUAACUGACGCUGAGGCGCGAAAGUGUGGGGAGCAAACAGGAUUAGAAACCCCGGUAGUCC